rnacentral:lncRNA from 1 species
AAAAAGAGUAGAGCUCUCCAAAGCCUAGGGAUUGGCCAGUGAGCUCUUGUGCCUUAGAACCAGUGUGGUUGGACACAAGAAGCUCUGGAUCACGGCCUAAUAGGUGCAGCAACUCUUCACAGCUUUGCGCACACUUCACACUUCAGCUUCACCUCUUCAUGGAACCGGUUUGAAGUCUCCCCCUCUCAACUGACUUCUCAGCCAUCUUAGAGAAGCUAGGACACGACAAGAUCAUCUUCAAAACACCAGUGAGGCUGAUCAACACUUCACACAUGGCUUGCCCUCUUCAUAGAACUGGUUUGAAUCUCCCCCUCUCAACAGACUUCACAGCCACCUUAGAGAAGCUAGGAAAUGACCAGGAACACCUUUAGU